GACGGAAGGUGCAAGCGUUGCUCGGAAUCACUGGGCGUAAAGGGUGCGUAGGCGGCCUGGUAAGUCUGGCGUGAAAGCCCAGGGCUCAACCCUGGAAGUGCAUUCGAUACUGCUUAGCUUGAGUGCGAGAGAGGUUAAUAGAAUACCUGGUGUAGUGGUGAAAUACGUAGAUAUCAGGUGGAACACCGGAGGCGAAGGCGGUUAACUGGCUCGACACUGACACUGAGACCCGAAAGUGCGGGGAUCAAACAGG
rnacentral:rRNA from 1 species